rnacentral:rRNA from 1 species
ACAGUCACACAUUAGAUACCCCGGUAGUCCUGGCCGUAAACGAUGUGGACUUGGUGUUGGAAUGGCUCCGAGCUGCUCCAGUGCCGAAGAGAAGCUGUUAAGUCCACCGCCUGGGAAGUACGGUCGCAAGGCUGAAACUUAAAGGAAUUGGCGGGGGAGCACAACAACGGGUGGAGCCUGCGGUUUAAUUGGACUCAACGCCGGACAACUCACCGGGACGACAGCAAUAUGUAGGCCAGGCUGAAGACCUUGCCUGAAUCGCUG